CGCUAUGAUAUCAUAGUGCUUGUGUUCAAGUCAUCUUUAAUUUACUUAAUAAUGGCCUCAAAGUGCAAAAGUAGUGACGCUGGCAAUUUGGAUAUGCCAAAGAGGAGUUGUGAAGUGCUUCCUUUAAAUGAAAAGAUGCUUCUAGAGAUGGUGGCUUUUAAGCUGGCCCAGGAGUAACAAGAAUUCAACUGGAAUAAGGCCCUGUGCCACCACAGGCUCCUCUGCCAAAGGAGGAGAUGCUACACUCUGAGGUGGAACAGCCAUCCUGCUUUCCUUUAUAAUGGAGCCU